UUGGACUUUUGUGCAUAGU
rnacentral:piRNA from 1 species